rnacentral:rRNA from 1 species
AUGCUGCCUCACUCCCUCCUACUCUUUCUCCUCUUCAUCAUCCCUACCUCCAUAGCAUACACCUAUGAUGAAAACGGUGUCUUCUUCAGCUUUGAUGACGGUAUGGAUAAGAGCAUGAGCGUGCUUAGUGGUGUGGCUUCUAUCACAAGCGGUGCACUUAUGCUCACCAACGGCGAGCCCCAACGGAAAGGCAACGGUCUAAGUUUUAUGUAUGGACCUAUUUCCUCAUUCUCGACAACCUUUGUGUUCGUCAUCAUCCCCCCGGAGAACCUUGGCGGGGUCAGUGCACAUGGCCUUGCAUUUACCCUUUCCAACAACAUAGGGUUCAUGUACAGUUCUCUGGCGGCUCAGUACAUGUCCCUGACCGACGAGGCAAGCAACGGUAAUAUUACAAAUCAACUCUUUGCUGUUGAGCUUGACACCUUUAAGAAUCCCACCUUCGUGGAUAUUGAUGAUAACCACGUUGGAAUCGAUGUAAACAGCAUUGUUUCUAUCAAUUCCCACACAGCUGGUUACUACACUUCCAAUGAUACAUUCUCUCCCUUGAGACUUGCUAGUGGAGAACCAAUGCAAGUAUGGGUGGAGUAUGAUGGCAACUCACACAACUUGAUUGUCAGUUUAGCACCUUACUUAGAGCGUAAGCCUCAACAACCACUGUUAGCCAGCACUGUCAAUCUUACAUCCGUAUUGGGAAACAACUCCUUCUUUGCUGGGUUCUCCUCAGCAACAGGCACCCUUAUUAGGUCCAAGCAUUGCAUUAUUGGCUGGAGUUUUAAUACAACUGGAGAGGCUCAACUACUUGACUACCCAGCAAUGUCUCAAAUUAUAGCAGAUGUUAGACAGAAAGCACAAAACCGCUCUCAUAUCCCCAAGGACAUUAUUUUACCAACUGUUGCUCCAGCAGCAUUCAUCGUGCUUGUUAUUCUUAUUGUUCUUUAUCUCAAGAAGGCAACAGAAAGUGCAGACUGGAAAAUAGAGGGUGGGCCACCAUAUUUCACGUACAAAGACCUAGCAACUGCAACAAGAGGUUUCAGUGACAGGAUGCUAUUAGGGAAAGGGGGAUUUGGAAAGGUGUACAAAGGGAUGCUACAAACCUCGAAGCAAAACGUUGCAAUCAAGCGGGUUUCUCCAGAGUCAAAGCAGGGGAUGAAGGAGUUCAUAGCCGAGAUAACUAUCCUUGGUCAUCUCCGGCAUCGCAACCUUGUCCAGUUGCUCGGUUAUUCCCGGCACAACAAUAACCUCCUUCUGAUUUAUGAUUACAUGCCAAAAGGUAGUCUUGACAGAGUCUUGCAUGAUCAAGAUAUGCCAGUCUUAAAUUGGGUUCAUAGACUUAACAUUAUAAAAGGCAUUGCAUCUGGCCUCUUCUACCUCCAUGAGGAUUGGGAGAAAGUUGUCAUCCAUCGGGACAUCAAGGCGAGCAAUGUGCUCCUCGAUACUGAAAUGAAUGCAAGGCUUGGUGAUUUCGGCCUUGCAAGAUUACACAACCACGGAACAGACGCCCACACCACUCAUUUGGCCGGCACUUGGGGCUACAUAGCUCCUGAGCUAGCUAGGCUUGGGAGGGCAACCAAGGCGACUGAUGUAUUUGCAUUUGGUGUGUUCAUGUUGGAGGUUGCUUGUGGAAGGCGUCCAAUAGUGCAUGAUUCUGGCGAUCCAACCCUGCUGACAGAUUGGGUGCUCCACGCAUGGGAAAGUGGUUCAAUCCUCACAAUAGUGGACCCAAGAUUGGAAGAUUACAUCAGGGAGGAGGUGGAGUUGGUACUGAAGCUUGGCCUGUUGUGCUCCCAUUCAGAACCAAGUGCAAGGCCAUGCAUGCGCCUUGUUCUGCAAUACCUUGAAAAGGAUGCAGCACUCACAGAUUUCCAACCUUGUUUUUUCCACCUUACCAGCAGGGAUGAAGGUUUUGAUCAAUAUAUCCUGUCAUGCCCCUCUGUGGCGACAGCCACAACGGGUCUUUCCGGAGGAAGGUGA